rnacentral:tRNA from 1 species
GGCUAGCGUAGCUCAAUCGGCAGAGCCCCGGUUUUGUAAACCGGAGGUUGUGGGUUCGAGUCCCACCGCUAGCUUCC